UACCUUUGUCAUUGUUCAGGUGCCCUGUUUGCCAGUCGGCCGACAGAGUGAAAAGGGAACGGGGUGAGAGUCCCCGACAGACCCGCUGCUGUGAACUCUUUUAUGCGUUUCAUGACAUACUGCAUCCACUGUUUCGUCGGGCGAAACGGGAAGGACAUGAAACGAGAGUAAGUCAGAAGACCUGCCUGUGACAUAGCCGUACG
rnacentral:ncRNA from 2 species